CCAACCGGGAUUGCCUUAGUAACGGCGAGUGAAGCGGCAAAAGCUCAAAUUUGAAAUCUGGUACCUUCGGUGCCCGAGUUGUAAUUUGGAGAGGGCAACUUUGGGGCCGUUCCUUGUCUAUGUUCCUUGGAACAGGACGUCAUAGAGGGUGAGAAUCCCGUGUGGCGAGGAGUGCGGUUCUUUGUAAAGUGCCUUCGAAGAGUCGAGUUGUUUGGGAAUGCAGCUCUAAGUGGGUGGUAAAUUCCAUCUAAAGCUAAAUAUUGGCGAGAGACCGAUAGCGAACAAGUACAGUGAUGGAAAGAUGAAAAGAACUUUGAAAAGAGAGUGAAAAAGUACGUGAAAUUGUUGAAAGGGAAGGGCAUUUGAUCAGACAUGGUGUUUUGUGCCCUCUGCUCCUUGUGGGUAGGGGAAUCUCGCAUUUCACUGGGCCAGCAUCAGUUUUGGUGGCAGGAUAAAUCCAUAGGAAUGUAGCUUGCCUCGGUAAGUAUUAUAGCCUGUGGGAAUACUGCCAGCUGGGACUGAGGACUGCGACGUAAGUCAAGGAUGCUGGCAUAAUGGUUAUAUGCCGCCCGUCUUGAAACACGGACCUCCUGUGUGAGGGGUCCCCCUAAA
rnacentral:rRNA from 1 species